rnacentral:rRNA from 1 species
GGGCCCGCACAAGCGGUGGAGCAUGUGGUUUAAUUCGAUGCAACGCGAAAAACCUUACCUACUCUUGACAUCCUUGGAAGCUCUUAGAGAUGAGAGUGUGCCUUCGGGAACCGAGAGACAGGUGCUGCAUGGCUGUCGUCAGCUCGUGUCGUGAGAUGUUGGGUUAAGUCCCGUAACGAGCGCAACCCUUGUCCUUAGUUGCUAACAGUUCGGCUGAGAACUUUAAGGAGACUGCCGGUGAUAAACCGGAGGAAGGUGAGGACGACGUCAAGUCAUCAUGGCCCUUACGAGUAGGGCAACACACGUGCUACAAUGGCUGGUACAAAGGGCAGCGAAGUCGCGAGGCGGAGCGAAUCCUAUCAAAGCCAGUCGUAGUCCGGAUUGGAGUCUGCAACUCGACUCCAUGAAGUUGGAAUCGCUAGUAA